rnacentral:rRNA from 1 species
CCAGUAGCCUGAGCGCAGCCUGAUCAGCCAUUCCGCGUGAGUGAAGAAGGCCUUCGGGUUGUAAAGCUCUUUCGCAAGGGAAGAAACGAUGCAGUCGAAUAAACUGCGUUAAUGACGGUACCUUGAUAAGAAGCACCGGCUAACUACGUGCCAGCAGCCGCGGUAAUA